rnacentral:lncRNA from 1 species
UUCAUUCAUUCCUUUUCAUUUCACUAAGUUAGAGAGAGGUAGAGAGAGAAGUGAGAGGUGAAGGAAGAACAAGGGUUAGAGAAAGGGAGAAACUUGAAGAUUGAAGCAAUUAGGAGCUAAAGUGAAGCCCAAGUUUGAAUUGAUCAUAACCUAAGGUAAGGGGGUUAGUCUUCAUCAUAAUCAUAAUUGUUUGUUUGCAAUUUUUCUUGGUUUGUAUGAAAAAGUGCUUAAUUGAGUGAGAAUUCAUAUGAACCCAAUCUCUAAUUUUCGUGCUCUUGUUUUGGUGAUAAGAUUGAGUAUGUUAAUUGAAUGAUAAAUGAAUUGUUGGUGAUGAAAUAACAUGUUCAUAAUGUAUGAAAAUGGGUUGUUGUGAAAUUAUGCUUAAUUGAUGACUUAUGACAUGUUGUUGUUGAAUUAAGGUGAGAAUCAAGUUUCGAUUGAUGUUGUUGUUGCUGAGACAUAUUGUUGUUUAUGAUUUAUGGCUUGGGUGUUCAUAUAUCAUGAUUGUUUGUGAGAAAUAAGAUGUUGUUGGUGGUUUUGUGAAAUUGGUGAAGUUGAGUUAAGUGUUCAUGUGAAGGACCAAAAUGAACUUUUGAUAUAUAUGGUUGUUGAUUGAAAUUUUGUUAUUGUUGGAUGAAUUGAACCUAGGAGAAUUUCUGUUUUCAUGUUGUGGUUAUGUUAGUUGAGUUGUUUGGGAGAAAACGGGUUUUUCGUGUGAAAUGUUGAUGUUUAAGCAUUUUCGCCAAUAAGUGAUUGUGUGAGGUUUUGGAAAAUGACUUUUGGGAUGGUUGAAACAUGAAAUUUUUGUAGAUUAUGAUAGUGCCAAGUGUUAGGAGCAUGUAGGCGAAAACGGCGUCGAAAACGGAUUAACGGUUUGAUUUUUAUGCGCGAAAAAGUAGAAGUUGAAUUUUUGCAUAGUCUGCUACUGUCAAAAUCAUGAAGCGAUCUUACAAAUCGUGAGGUGAUUUUGACAGAAACAAUAAAUUUUCUGCAUAGCCUGAUGUUGUCGAAUCAUGAAGCGAUUUCGCAAAUCAUGAGGUGAUUUUGACAGCAACAUCAAAUUUUUCUACUCAGUCUGAUGCUGUCAAAAUCAUGAAACAAUCUUACGAGUCAUGAAGCGAUUUGGCAGACUAGAAACCUUAAAAAUGCAAUUUUCUUUGAUCCAAUUGUUUCCAAACUUAUUUCUAUGUAUAGGGACUUUAUCCUAAUCAUCUAGGGAUGUUUUUAUGGAAGAAAUAGCUUCGUAUUAAGGGCUUAGUGAGUCCUUUUGUUUUCUUGACUUUAAUGAAACAUUAUGAUAUGAAUCUUUGCAAAACUUGAAUUUAAGUGAGUUGGCCUAUGAAACGUUGAUGUAUACACUACUGCACUCAUAUGUGAUUUGUGUAUAUACAUGGUUGAGGUCCUAGAGUUUAUUUAUUUGGUUUUAGUUCAUUUGUUCUAAUCAUGUAAAAGGUGAUAUUUCGGAUGGGAAUGUGAAAAGUUGUGAAAUGGGGUUUUCAUACGAACUUAAGUUGUUCUUGGAUUAAUGUUUAAUGGUCCGGAGGCAACUUAAAUUCAUGAAUACAUGAUUGGUUAAGGUUGCUUGAGAACUCUCAACUUGUCUAUGUUGUUUUGUCUUGGGAAUUGUCAAUGUUGGCCGUUUGCCACUUGACACGGUCUUUGGUCGGAAAUGUUUCUUGAACUAAUUGUCUUAUGAAUUGUGGUGACUAUUCUUAUAUGGCUAAGUGAAGUUGUAUGAAUGAAUGAUUGUAUUGGAUAUGAUGUUUAUCAUGAGAUAUGUAUGUGAUCUUACUUAGAAUGUAAGGAAUGCUUGAAUGGUGAAACUAUAUGUGAUAGUUGAUGUUGAAUGGUUAUAUGUUGGAUAUGAUAUUUGUCAUGAAAUGUUGUAUGUUCUCUUACUUGGAAUAUGAGAAUUGUUUGGAAUGGUGAAACUAUAUGAUAUAGUUGAUGUUGAAUGACAUUGUUGAUUAUUGAUAAUCAUGUUGAUGUGUGAUGGUGAAUACUAUGAUUUAAUUGUGUGUGGGCAUGUUUUCUUGGUAAUGCAAUGUUGUGGAGAUAAUCAAUAUAAUUGGGUGUUGUCCUAUAUAUUGAGUUGAGAUUGAGAAUUGUUGUCGCAUUAUCGAGUCAUUACACAUGUCCAUGCAUCAUAGUCGUUGUUGCUGUAAAAGGGAUAACUCUUUUACUUCGAGAUUAUUGUAAGGCAGAGGUGAGCCUUACAUACGAUGUGCAAGUGGCAUCGAAAGGUGACGACCUUGUUGAGAUUUGGUACCACAUGCAUCUAUGUGUUAAUAAGUGCAUAUCAUAACAUGAGUCUUAUGUGAAAUAUCUGAUUGGUGAUGAAAUGAGAUGAAUGAUUAUUGAUGAUGUUUGUGAUUGAUGAUUGUGAAUGAAUAUUUGUGAAUUGAUAUUUGUUCCUGAUACAUGUGAUUGGUGAUUGUUCAUGAAAUAUGAUUAAUGACUGUUCAUGAUGUAUAUGAUUGGUGAUUGUGUAUGAAUAACUGUGAAUUGAUCUUUGUUCAUGACACAUGUGAUUGGUGAUUAUUGAUGCGAGAUAUUGGGAUGUGAUGUAAGUAUUAAUGUGUGAUUAUUAUUGAUCAAAUGCAUGAUGUUUAUCUUGAAAUAUUCAUGUUACCUGUUAUUUGGAUUAUGAUAAUGUAAUACUUACCCCCAGUGGAUCUGUUAUGGACCGCCUGCCUAUCUGUAUGGAUGGGUAGACGUUGUGCAGGUUUAGUUGCUUGGUGAGUUAUUGUGCUUGGUGGAUAUCUGGAGCUUUCUCCGAUAUCGGUGUUUAGAAUUAGUCGGCUCUGAUCUAGGCUUCGUUGUGUCGGUCUAGAUUAGGUUAUCUUUGGUUUUGUUAUGUUUGGAGAUUACCCGUUUGUUGGGAUUUUUGAGAUGCAUCUAUGUUGAUGUAAUUUAUUUAUUCUUAACAUGUAUAUUUGAAUUUACUCUAGUUUAUAUUCCGCUGCGACUGUUGAGGUUUAUAUACAUGUUUAUUGGUUUUUGAAUUUUGAAUGUGGCGUAGCCUCUAUUUCUUGAAUAAAUGUAUUAUUC